rnacentral:lncRNA from 1 species
CGGCAGCCCACCAGGUGGCGCUCGCUCCCCCAUUUCCCCCCCCCCUCCCGCGCCGACGCCCGUGACGUCAGCCGCCCGGCUCCAUUUGAGCGCCUCUCGGCAGCCGAGAACUCGGACUUCCCGUGUGGCUCACAACAUAACUACUCGGCGUUGCUUCUACAGUGGCUGUGGCUCGACCCCUGGCCUGGGAACUUCCAUAUGCCGCAGCCCCGCGGCGGCAGAUGGCACUCGUUCUGCCGCUUUUUCCUGGCUGUGUGCGAUGCCAUCGCAUAGAUGUCCCCGGGUCUGCGAAGUGCACUCACCUGUCAGUGGACCUUUAGGUGGCUUCCAGAUCUUGGCUCUGGUGAGUAGUGCGGCGACAGACAGAGGGGUGCCCGGGUCUGCUUCCGGGAAAGUUUGGUCCGGUGAAAUGGAGCUGUUUGGAGGCCGGCUUCGGUCUUUGUGUGGGCCGGCCCGUGUAGGGCUGCUUGGCUGAGACUCUGUCGAGGAGGGAGGCCUUCAGCCACCGGGGCCUCACGGGGCCUACCCGUGCGGCACCAUCACAGAGCUCUCCGUCACUGCCCCUUGUGG